rnacentral:tRNA from 1 species
GCCGAUGUGGCGGAAUUGGCAGACGCGCCAGACUCAAAAUCUGGUGCCCGAAAGGGCGUGGGGGUUCGACUCCCUCCAUCGGCACCA